rnacentral:rRNA from 1 species
AGUGAACGCUGGCGGUAGGCCUAACACAUGCAAGUCGAACGGCAGCACAGUAAGAGCUUGCUCUUACGGGUGGCGAGUGGCGGACGGGUGAGGAAUACAUCGGAAUCUACUUUUUCGUGGGGGAUAACGUAGGGAAACUUACGCUAAUACCGCAUACGACCUACGGGUGAAAGCAGGGGAUCUUCGGACCUUGCGCGAUUGAAUGAGCCGAUGUCGGAUUAGCUAGUUGGCGGGGUAAAGGCCCACCAAGGCGACGAUCCGUAGCUGGUCUGAGAGGAUGUACCUCCAAACGGGAAGUGAAACACGGGCCAGACACCAUGGGGAAGCAGGCUGGGGGAAAUUGAGAAAAAGGACGCAACCCUCACCCCCCCAUACCGGGUGGGAAAAGAGGCCCUUGGGGUUGAAAAGCCCUUUUUGUGGGAAAGAAAAGAAGCGGGUUAAAACCCCCCGUUUCAGGCGGUACCCAAAGAAUAAGCCCCGCCCAACUUCGU